rnacentral:rRNA from 1 species
GGCAGACGGCUCAGUAACGCGUAGUCAACCUACCCUAUGGACGGGAAUAAUCUCGGGAAACUGAGCAUAAUACCCGGCGUACCACCAUUCCUGGAAUGGUUGGUGGUUAAAAUGAUUCGUCGCCGUAGGAUGGGACUGCGACCUAUCAGCUUGUUGGUGAGGUAAAGGCCCACCAAGGCGAUUACAGGUACGGGCUCUGAGAGGAGAAGCCCGGAGAUGGGUACUGAGACACGGACCCAGGCCCUAUGGGGCGCAGCAGGCGAGAAAACUUUGCAAUGUGCGAAAGCACGACAAGGUUAAUCCGAGUGAUUUCUGCUAAAGAAAUCUUUUGCCAGUCAUAAAACCACUGGUGAAUAAGGGGUGGGCAAGUUCUGGUGUCAGCCGCCGCGGUAAAACCAGCACCUCAAGUGGUCAGGAUGAUUAUUGGGCC